rnacentral:rRNA from 1 species
GAUGAACGCUAGCUACAGGCUUAACACAUGCAAGUCGAGGGGUAACGAGAGGAAAGCUUGCUUUCCUUGUCGACGACCGGCGCACGGGUGAGUAACGCGUAUCCAACCUGCCCCCAACUAGGGAAUAACCUUGCGAAAGUAAGACUAAUACCCUAUAAUUUCCUCAGAUGACAUCUGACAAGGAAUAAAGAUUUAUCGGUUUUGGAUGGGGAUGCGUCUGAUUAGCUUGUUGGCGGGGUAACGGCCCACCAAGGCAACGAUCAGUAGGGGUUCUGAGAGGAAGGUCCCCCACAUUGGAACUGAGACACGGUCCAAACUCCUACGGGAGGCAGCAGUGAGGAAUAUUGGUCAAUGGGCGGAAGCCUGAACCAGCCAAGUAGCGUGCAGGAUGACGGCCCUAUGGGUUGUAAACUGCUUUUAUACAGGAAUAAAGUUAGCCACGUGUGGUUAUUUGUAGGUACUGUAUGAAUAAGGACCGGCUAAUUCCGUGCCAGCCGCCGCGGUAA